rnacentral:tRNA from 1 species
UCCGGUGUAGUCGAGCGGUAAGACGCGCGACUGUUAAUCGCGAGGCCCAGGUUCGAGCCCUGGCGCCGGAG